GGACCAGGGGCUCCUCCUCCCCGGUGACCCUGGUACUUGGGGGCUGCCCCUCUCUGGGUGACACUAGGACCGAGGCUGUCCCUCCCCAGAGGCAAAGCUUCAUGUGAUCCAAACCCAGCAAUUGCUACUUGCCAGUGGUAUUGCAGAGUAGAGAAAACAUGUGAUAUGCAGACAGACUUUAAGAAAAUGCCAGCUUCUGACCACCUGACAUCUGAUGCUGCCUCAAGUCAUAUGGAAUCAGUACAUAUUUUCCUAAUACAACAUUGUUUUUGUGACCUUGAGCGUUUUCAUCCAACCCCAAAGAUAAAGGUGCUGUGAGAAAGCAAACUGAAGAAGAAAUUAUAAAUGAACCUCUCAGGCUUUCCAGUUUCCUCUGAGGAUAAAAGCUGUAAUUCCA